ensembl:lncRNA
CCGCUACCGGCCCGCGGUUACAGGUGGCCGCCUGUCCCUGCCGGGCACCCGGAAGGUGGGAGGUCGGGCGUGACCAGUUUGGGGCAGCUCGGGAGAGACUGCUGUGCUUGUUCACAGAGGGAGAACACAUUCAGCCCCCUAAUGGAAAACUUCCGUAGAAGAUAAAGUAUCCACUCGAGGAUGCCCGCUCCCUGCUGGCCCUGGGCCCCAGGUGCCCAUGCGUUAUGAGUAGGUAGUUAACACCUGUGGCAGCAGACAGAGGACAUCACUGAGGAUGGGCAAGUCUGCUGAGUCAGGCCUUGCUCAACAAGGGAAGGAGCCACCUGCAUCAGCAGAGACGGGCAGGUGAGGGCAGGCACAGCUGUUCCCACCUUGAUGCCUUCAUAGAACAGGCAUGUCUUAGUCACUUUCCUCAUCGCUGGGACACAGUGCCUGACACUCACAAUCUACAGGAGUUUAUUUUGGCUCACGUUUCAGUCCACGGCUGGUCGGCUUCAAAGAAGGGGCAUGGUGGAGAAAAGCUGCUCACAUCAUGGCGACCAGGAAGCAGAGGCAGAAGAGAGGAGCCAGGGAGGGAGAUGAGCCCUCCCAGGCCAUUUGAGACCCCACCUGGCAGCAAGUCAGCUAUGAGCCCGUGACCCACACCUUCCAGAGGUCCCACCUAUGGUCACAUGAGGCUGUGGGGGAUAUCCAGAUAUAAACUACAGCAAACCACCAGUGUUUGCCUCCUUACACACUCUAGUAAGGGAAACACAAAACUUCAGGAUAUAAAACUAACACAUGAAGCAAUAGGUUCCUGCACACCAAUAAUCAGCCCACUGAGAAAGAAAUCAGAAAAACAGCUCCACUCAGUAGCUUCAAAAAAAAUUUAAGUACCUAGGAACCUAACCAAGGAAGUUAGUGACCUCUACAAUGAAAACUACUGAAACUGAAGAAAAACAGAAAAAACUAGAAAGUGGAAAGAGACCCUCUGUUCAUGGAUGAGAAGAAAUAAUACUGUGAAAAUGGCUAUAUUACUAAAAGCAAUCUACAGAUUGAAUGAAGUUCCUAUUAAAAUACCAACAACAUUCUUUACAGAACAACAACAAAAAAAUCCUAAAGGCCAUAUCUAGAAUAAGAAUAGCCAAGCAGUCCUGAGCAAAAAGAGCAAAGCUGGAGGCCUCACAAGACAAGGCUCAGCUUACGUGGCAGAGCUGGAGUACCAAAGACACCACGGUACCAGCAGAAAGCAGACACAGAUCCACAGACUGCAGCGGAGGGCACAGAAACAAACCUGUGCGUCUGCUGCCAUCUGACUUCAGUCAGAGGGGCCAAAACCAGGCUGGAGAAAAGACAGCCUCCGUCACAGACAGUGCAGGGGAGACUGGACACCCAUGUAGAGAAGACUGAAAGAUCCCUGUCUCCCACCCUCUACUGAAGUCAAAUCAAAAUGGAUUAGAGACCCAGAUAUAAAACCCGAAACUUUGAAACUGCUGGGAGAGAACAGAGGAAACACUUGAAACCAUAGGCACAAAGACUUCCUGACUUGGCUCCAAUAGCCCCAGAAAUAAUAUCAAGAAUCAACAAAUAAGCCGCAUGUGGUGGUGCAUGCCUGUGAUCCGAGCACUCCAGAGGCUGAGGCAGGAGGAUCACAGAUGAAGCCACUCUGAAUUAAUUAAAAAUAAAAAUAAAUAAAAUAAAAUAAAAUGGGACUACAUCAAAAAGCCUCCAGGGCCGGGGAUUUAGCUCAGUGGCACCAUGG